rnacentral:lncRNA from 1 species
GUUUCCUCUUGCUUUGUCCCUUCCAGAAAGAUGAAAGUCUAAAUUAUGGCAAAAUGUAGCUUCCCUCACCUGCCACACACCCCUGGACUAACACUCAGAGAAAAGAAUUGUUCACAUCAAAUGAAAUUUGAGUAAUAGCUAUAAAAAAUAUAAAACACCAAAAGCUGCCUAAAACAUUAUUGUUUAUUCUGAAUGACAAAGAACAGUGUAAAAAUGCAAUUCUUACCAAAACUUGCCUUUAGUCAGAACAUUCAAGUUCUCAGGGAGCCAGGCAUAACUGAUGAAACUUUCUUGUAGGAUUUCAGAAAACAGAUUCUGACUAUAUCUAGGGUUUUAUGUUAUUUUCAAUCUUUUGAAUGUUGAGUUCUUUGUCAUUUUAAUGUUUCACAUCUCUGUUGCACGAUAGAAUUGUCACGUGUACCGAUUCCAGUGUUGGAUAGGAUUAUCUUAUGUUUGGAACAUGAAUAUGAUACAUGGAAAUAUGUUUAAAUGUUUUGGGCCAUAUAAUUAGCCAUAAUGUGUAUGAAAAAUCUUACCCCCUUCUAUCAGGAAGAGUUUUUAAAACAAAUUUCAGAUUUGCUACUAUUCCCCUGACAAACUACAACUCCUCCCGGCUAGUCAUCAGUUCUGUUCACCUGCAGAAGUCACUAGCCAAACCUUCCUUAUCACCCUUCUAAAUUUCUGGAAGCAAGUUACUAUCAGGAUCAAUAAUGAGUUCUGUAAGCUUCUUCCCAAACACUAGGGUUUGGUUACUAAUGCAAACUCUGUUGUUCUUCAUGCCAUAGUUUUUAGGUUUACUUCUUUAUUUCAAUCCUACACUCCAGUGUUUAGGUAACUUUUGAAAUGAUGUAGCACUGAUGCCAUGAACUCUGAGACCACCACUUAACACACAAAAUUGUGAUGUUUGAUGCCACCUUUACUGCAAUGUUGGAGCAGAUCUUCAAUUUGGAAGAGGAUUUUAAAUGAACAAAAUUAAGUUUAUUCAAUUAUAAUUUUAAGACUUUAGUUGAUACUUGAUUUCCAAGAACGUGUAGUGCAUUUUUCAAAAAAUAAACAUGGAUGUUAUUAGAACAAAGUUGAAGGCUUAUGCUAGCAUCGGUUCAUUUUAUUUACAUACACACACAGAUACACAAUGAUGAGCUUGCACUCACACACAGACACACACACGCCACAUGUAUACAAAAUGUAAUCUAUUAGUUUUGGAUAUGUUUAAUAUUUUUCUAAAGUUGUAAGAGGUUGUAGGUUAAUGCUAGGAUAUUAAUUCUUUUAUUCCUUACUUGUAAUCAUGGAGUAUUCUGUUCUCUUAGUUGUAAUGUUAAAACUAAAUGCUCAAACUUGGUCAGCGACCUAAGUGGUUUUGAGCAUUUCUUGUAAGGUGUAGUGUUCCUUCACUAACAUACAUCAGGGUAUAUCUGUGUGGCACAUAGAUACGGUGUUUUCAUUCUUCAUCCUCAGUCUUCAUUGUUCCUCUGAUAUCACCAUGCUUCACUGUCACUUAGCAAAUGUUUGUGUUAAACAGGGUAAACAGAGAUCCUCAAGGUCUCAUUGUUGUGGCCUAGCUCCAAUGUGUGUGCUGUGGUGAGCUGCAGUGAGUUAUCUGCGAAACAUUAUUGUUUGAUAGUGAAAAUAUUUGUUUCUGUUCUUCAGGUGUCUCAUGAUUCAAAUUUUGUAUGUUGAAUUAAAGUAUUGCAUAAUAUUGAUGGGUUCAGAAACCAUU